UUGUGGAAUUCAUCAGUUUGAUAGUUAACUGUUGUGUCAACUUGAGUUGCCCAACUGAUCCGCUUAACAUAGUUCUGAGUGUGACUGAAUGGAUUUACUGAAGAUGAAAGACCCACCAUAGGUGUGAGUAGCACCAACCAAUAGGCUUAUACCUGAGUGGAAUAAAAAAGGGAAAGAAGGACAGCUCACUUCUGUUUCAUUGGGGAAGCUCCAGUUUUUGCCUUUGGACAUCAUCUCCUGGUUUCCAGUACAGACUCUUCAGCCUUGCAGUGCAGACUCUGGCUUCCUGAUAUGGACUGGCAUGGGACUCUACAGUGAGCACCAGGCCUUCAACCUUUGACAGUCCUUUUGUACUCUUCCACACUUGACUCCACGGGCAGCCGUUAUGGGGAGUCUGGCAUGGCUCAGCUGAAUCUUUUGCUGAGCACAAGGCUGAAACCAGUCUUUGCUGGUCUGAGUUUCUGACUUCAGGAAACAUCUGGGGCCCUCUUCUGAAAAGCUUUCCUCAUAAAUACAGGGUUACCCUUACAACUAACUAAGCCAAUGUUUUAAAGACUUAAUUAAUCUGCAAAACCUCUUCGCCUUGCCCUACUCUCAAACUCAAUAUUCUAUUACCUUUGCCAUAUUCUAGUGUUUAGAAGCAAGCCACAGGUCCUACCAAAACUCAAGGGGAAGGAAUUACACAAGAGCACAGUGGAUCAUCUGUGACUUCUGCCUACCACAAUGCUUUUUAUCCAAUCAGCCACAGAAGUGUCCUCAUCCUCACUCCUCGGCAUUGUCAGUCAGAUGGAGACAUUGUGUAGUGGAGAAGGAAAGACCAGACUAUGAUUGCCUUUCUGAGACCUGGUAGGACUAUGCAAGUGCCUGUGGAGGUGAAGUCUGUCUUGUACCAGCAGUAGUCCCCUUGUUUUAACCUAUCAGAGAGCCCAAUAAUCACAGGAUUCUUCAGAGAUUCUUCAGGAUUCUUCAUGUCCUUGAUGCCAUGCACAGACCUGCCUGUGACCAUAAACUCAAUAAGAGCUGAGACUGUGCCUUAUUUAUCUAGCACCUACACUGCCUUACGCAAGUCAACACUUAAUAAAUGUUUUUGAAAUGAAA